rnacentral:rRNA from 1 species
GACGAACGCUGGCGGCGUGCCUAAUACAUGCAAGUCGAGCGGACUGAAUGGGAGCUUGCUCUUGUUCGGUCAGCGGCGGACGGGUGAGUAACACGUGGGCACCCUGCCCGCAAGACCGGGAUAACUCCGGGAAACCGGAGCUCAUCCCGGAUAACAACGAAGACCGCAUGGUACUUGGUUGAACGGCGGCGCAAGCUGCCACUGGCGGAUGGGCCCGCGGCGCAUUAGCUAGUUGGUCAGGUAACGGCACACCAAGGCGACGAUGCGUAGCCGUCCUGAGAGGGUGGCCGGCCAACCUGGGACUGAAACCCGGCCCAGACUCCCACGGGAGGCAGCAGUAGGGAAUCUUCCGCGAUGGGCGAAAGCCUGACUGAGCGACGCCGCGUGGGCGAAGAAGGUCUUCGGGUCGUAAAGCUCUGUUGUGUAGGACGAAGGAGCGUUGAUUGAAGAAGGCGGCGCGGUGACGGUACCUCAAGAGGAAGCCCCGGCUAACUACGUG